UGGGGAAUAUUGCGCAAUGGGCGAAAGCCUGACGCAGCCACGCCGCGUGAGCGAUGAAGGCCUUCGGGUCGUAAAGCUCUGUGGGGAGAGAAGAAUAAAGCCUGUGAAGAGCAGGCCUUGACGGUAUCUCCUUAGCAAGCACCGGCUAACUCCGUGCCAGCAGCCGCGGUAAUACGGAGGGUGCAAACGUUGCUCGGAAUCAUUGGGCGUAAAGCGCACGUAGGCUGCCCGACAAGUUGGGUGUGAAAACCCUGGGCUCAACCCAGGAAGUGCAUCCAAAACUGGCGGGCUUGAAUCUCGGAGGGGGUCGGAGAAUUCCCGGUGUAGAGGUGAAAUUCGUAGAUAUCGGGAGGAAUACCAGUGGCGAAGGCGCCGACCUGGACGAAGAUUGACGCUGAGGUGCGAAAGCGUGGGGAGCAAACAGG
rnacentral:rRNA from 1 species